rnacentral:lncRNA from 1 species
UUCGAAUGAGCAUUAUUCUUGUCCAAGUGGCUUGCCUCGGGGAAUGGUGGUAUAAUAUCAAUUUUCAGUCUUCCAUUCAUACUACUCCUUAUGAAGUAGUUUAUGGACAGGUGCCCCCAAUCCAUCUGCCUUACCUCCCCGAAAAAGCUUCUAGCUUAGCAGUAGAAUUACCAGAGAUGCAGUAAUAUAUAUAAUUACUCAAAUUCCAUCUUCUUAAAGCUCAGAACUGAAUAAUCCGCAUUGGAGAUUUUGUAUAUCUCAAGCUGCAACCUUACCAAUAAGUUCUUUGGCCCUUUCAAAGUGAUUGAUCGUAUUGGUGCAGCUAUAUACCAAAUAAAGCUUCCACCUGUGCAAAGAUACAUGAUGUGUUUUAUGUAUUCCAAUUGAAUUAUGCACAUUGAAUUCUACUCUUCCCUAUAAACCCGAGGUCGCCACUGAUAGAAAAUGGUAAAAAGGGGUUGUAUCACUGAUACGAAAGUUUUAGUUAAGUGAAAGGAUGUGACCAUUUAGCAAACAACUUAGGAUUCCUUUUAUGCCUCUUCCAGGAGUCCCCAAACUUUCAUCCUUGAGGUCAAGGCUAUUCUUGAAGGGGAGUGUUAUAGUCUUAAUAUGCUGUGUUAGUAACACCUUUUAUACUAUGCUUUAUUUCUUUUACCAUAUAUUAGUCUUAAUAUGCUGUGUUAGUAACACCUUUUAUACUAUGCUUUAUUUCUUUUACCAUAUAUUAGUCUUUUCAUGUCACGUUUUCCAUUUUACUUGGUUAUUAGACUCUGCUAAUGUGGCGCAUGUGUAACAAACUUAUUCUGAUUCCAGCAUGGCUUGGUGCUUCAAUGGAAUACAUGUUUAAUUCUCAAACAAUCUACUUGCUUCCUAAAAAAUAUCUCACUCGUUCCAACAGCAUCAGAAAUUAUUCAGCUAUUGAUUUUCCUACUAUUGGUUAUUUGUAUUCUCGGAAUUCUCUCCCUGUAUCCAAAUUUCCAUCACAUCCUUACAUAAUAUUAAUAGUUAUUAUGAUGCUUUAUUGCAGUCAUUUUAUUCCUUUAUUUUUGAGGUACAAAUGAAUCUUCAUAUCUGCAGUAUUUUAAG